CAUGAGGUGAGGAUAAAAACUUACGGGGUGGAAACAAGGCCACACUCCCACUGAGUUUUCGGA
rnacentral:sRNA from 16 species